rnacentral:lncRNA from 1 species
GGUGCACCCAUCACAACAGCUGAUAGGUGCAGGGCCCAUGGGUGCACCCAGGGCAGUGCCCAGAGCGUGCUUGGCCAGCACCCAUCUCUGGGUGCACCCGUGCCUGUCGUUGGCACACUGGAGCAGGGGGAGCCUGGAGUGGGGCAGUGGGAAGCCUCCGGUGCAUGUCCGGCCCCAGGGUCGCCCCGGGUGCACAGGAAGAGCUGGGUGCUAUCAGCACCCACCAGCCCUGGCCACAGAGUCGGGUGCCGGAAACCACUGGGGUGGCUGAGUCCUGACUUAGUGCACUGGCGCCUGCCCAAACCUUCACCCCGCUGGGACUGGCCAGCCCCUGGUGAUACCAAAGUGACAGCAGGGUGCUGGGAGGCGGCUGAUGCCAGUAACACCAAGCUGACACCAGGGUGCUGGGACACCCCUAACACCAAAUGGACACCAAGGUGCUGGGAGCCAGGGUGCUACACCCAGUGUGGGUGCUGCUUCACCCAGCUGCAGACGCAUGCUGGCAUCCACGGGGACGAGAGUACCCAUUCGCUUGCACCCAGUGUGGGUGCCGCUACAGCCGCAGCUCCAACCUUCCGCGGCACCAGCACGUCCACGCCGCUGCCUGAUGCCGCUUAUUCUCUUACAGGCGCGCUCUGUGCUGCUGCAGAGCCCAGAGCAACUCAUGACACGAGUGGGCCGCAGGGACGCCGUCGCCCCAGCGCACGCUGACGCCAGCCUCGAAGCUUUUAUUGCGGCAAGACGGGCACUGCAAGAUUCCUUUUAAAUAAUAAUAAUAAUAACAACAACAACAAUAAAAAAUAUACAGCAGUCGUUUUCUCCCUCGAA